rnacentral:rRNA from 1 species
CGUAGGGUGCGAGCGUUAAUCGGAAUUACUGGGCGUAAAGCGUGCGCAGGCGGUUAUAUAAGACAGAUGUGAAAUCCCCGGGCUCAACCUGGGAACUGCAUUUGUGACUGUAUAGCUAGAGUACGGCAGAGGGGGAUGGAAUUCCGCGUGUAGCAGUGAAAUGCGUAGAUAUGCGGAGGAACACCGGUGGCGAAGGCAAUCCCCUGGGCCUGUACUGACGCUCAUGCACGAAAGCGUGGGGAGCAAACAGGAUUAGAUACCCUGGUAGUCCACGCCCUAAACGAUGUCAACUGGUUGUUGGGUCUUCACUGACUCAGUAACGAAGCUAACGCGUGAAGUUGACCGCCUGGGGAGUACGGCCGCAAGGUUG